GGCCUCAUAGCUCAGCCGGUAGAGCAUGCGCUGUACAAAAGCGUGGGUGGCGUCCAUGCGUGCGUUCGAAUCCCACCGAGGCCA
rnacentral:tRNA from 1 species